rnacentral:lncRNA from 1 species
GGAUCCGCUGUAGUUUCUUCACCCUGCUUCUUGCCUUCAACGCCACCUACGCUCGCAGUGUUUUCAUUCUGCUUGCUGCUAUCCGCGUCUUCUGUGCCUUGUGGUGUGGUGUUCUCAACAGGUUUAGGAUCUGUCGCGUCCUCUGUGCCUUGUGUUGUGGUGUUCUCAACAGGUCUAGGAUCUGUUGUAGUUUCUUCACUCGGCUUCUUGUCUUCAGCGUUGCCUAUGUUGCCCAUGGUACCAAUGCUGGAAGUAGGGUCAACAGCAAGCUCCCUGAUCUUCUUCUCUUCAUCAG